rnacentral:rRNA from 1 species
CUGCGAAAGCCGGAUUAAUACCGCAUACGAUCUACGGAUGAAAGCGGGGGACCUUCGGGCCUCGCGCUAUAGGGUUGGCCGAUGGCUGAUUAUCUAGUUGGUGGGGUAAAGGCCUACCAAGGCGACGAUCAGUAGCUGGUCUGAGAGGACGACCAGCCACACUGGGACUGAGACACGGCCCAGACUCCUACGGGAGGCAGCAGUGGGGAAUUUUGGACAAUGGGCGAAAGCCUGAUCCAGCAAUGCCGCGUGUGUGAAGAAGGCCUUCGGGUUGUAAAGCACUUUUGUCCGGAAAGAAAUCCUUGGUUCUAAUAUAGCCGGGGGAUGACGGUACCGGAAGAAUAAGCACCGGCUAACUACGUGCCAGCAGCCGCGGUAAUACGUAGGGUGCGAGCGUUAAUCGGAAUUACUGGGCGUAAAGCGUGCGCAGGCGGUUUGCUAAGACCGAUGUGAAAUCCCCGGGCUCAACCUGGGAACUGCAUUGGUGACUGGCGGGCUAGAGUAUGGCA